rnacentral:misc_RNA from 1 species
GGAUGAAGAACGCAGCGAAAUGCGAUAAGUAAUGUGAAUUGCAGAAUUCAGUGAAUCAUCGAAUCUUUGAACGCACCUUGCACCCUUUGGUAUUCCGAAGGGUAUGCUCGUUUGAGUGUCAUUGUACUCUCACACUUCUAAUUCCUUUCGGGAUUGGGAGCGGUGGACUUGGGUGUUGCUGCUUUAGUUGUGGCUCACCUCAAAUAAGUUAGUGCAACUCUUGGUUGGACAUAGUACGGCGUGAUAAGUGUCUUCGCCGGCGCCUCUGUAAGGAGGGUGGCCGAUCGGGAGCUCUGUGCUUCAAACCGUCUUCGGACAAUCUUUGACAACUUGACCUCAAAUCGAGUAGGACUACCCGCUGAACUUAAGCAUAUCAAUAAGCGGAGGA